CUCCAUACGACCUGUCAUGAACCUCUCAACCCCCACCAACAUCAGCAUGUACUUCACCCUCUACGGCAUCCUGGGUGUGGAGGAAAAAGCACAACUGUUGUACACCUACAUUUGGCUGGUGAAGGAAUGGGAGAAUGAAUUUUUCAGCUGGGACCCAGUCCAAUGCGGCUCUGCCAAUAUUUCUCUCCCCAGGGAAAGGUUCUGGUCACCAGAUGUGGUAAUCAAUGAAUUGUGAGUUAAACAUCUCUAUAGUCUAUAUAGAUACGAUAUACUUAUUUUUUUGAUGAAACAUUGACUUUGGUCUUCCUGAUAUUAGCCCAUAGAAACACAUUGAAUAACAGACUAAUACAUGGAAAAACACAAUCAAAAAAUGAUGAAAAGGAAGUUUGUUUUAAAGUGUCUGUCCUAUAUCUGAGAGAUAAACGAAAGAUC